rnacentral:tRNA from 1 species
GCGCCAUGCCUGUUUCUAGCGACAUCUUUGCGGACUUCUAAUCCGCGGGUCGCAGGUUCGAAUCCUGCCGGGCGCG